AUGACGGGGAAAAGAAACAGAAUCAGAACCUCACCACCGACUACCAUCAGUGUCCCUGUUCCGACAUCGCAGCAACCUCCAACAACAAGCACAGACCCUCGCCACACUCCCACUCACCUAAUCUACCGUCGCCGGCCACAAAUCGCGGCGAACUUUCUCCAUCCAUCGGCGAAACAACGACAACACCGACCCCAACGGGAUCACGAUGCACAUACCACAAACAACACUAGCAUACAAAUCCGCGACUCCCUCCGUUCAUGA